GAUGAACGCUGGCGGCGUGCCUAAUACAUGCAAGUCGAGCGAACAGACGAGGAGCUUGCUCCUCUGACGUUAGCGGCGGACGGGUGAGUAACACGUGGAUAACCUACCUAUAAGACUGGGAUAACUUCGGGAAACCGGAGCUAAUACCGGAUAAUAUAUUGAACCGCAUGGUUCAAUAGUGAAAGACGGUUUUGCUUUCACUUAUAGAUGGAUCCGCGCCGCAUUAGCUAGUUGGUAAGGUAACGGCUUACCAAGGCAACGAUGCGUAGCCGACCUGAGAGGGUGAUCGGCCACACUGGAACUGAGACACGGCCCAGACUCCUACGGGAGGCAGCAGUAGGGAAUCUUCCGCAAUGGGCGAAAGCUUGACGGAGCAACGCCGCGUGAGUGAUGAAGGUCUUCGGAUCGUAAAACUCUGUUAUUAGGGAAGAACAAAUGUGUAAGUAACUAUGCACGUAUUGACGGUACCUAAUCAGAAAGCCACGGCUAACUACGUG
rnacentral:rRNA from 1 species